AAAAGGAGAAGAUGGGAAAAAUAAUAACGAGAAGUAGUAGAAGGGGAUGGAGCGCUUUGGUUUUUCUUUUCUCUCUUUUUUUCCUUCCGAGCUUGGUUCUUUCUUUCUCUCUUUGGAAUGAGGAAGUUGGGGAAGAAAGAGAGGAGGUUCAAGAAAGGGAGUUGGUCAUGGUUGUUGUCUUGAGUGGUCUUUCUCAUUCUCUCCCUUUUCACCCGAAAAAUUUGAAACAAGAAGAAAUCAGUGGUUGGGAAUUGAAUGAUCAAUUUACUUUUGGACAACAGCUCAGGAGGGAGUAUAUUGAAGAG
rnacentral:ribozyme from 13 species